rnacentral:rRNA from 1 species
AUGCUAAAUGGGUUGAAUUCAUUGAAACUUUCCCUUAUGUUAUUAAACACAAGAAGGGUAAAGAAAAUGUUAUUGCUGAUGCAUUGUCUCGUCGCUAUACUAUGCUUUCACAACUUGACUUCAAAAUAUUUGGUUUGGAGACCAUCAAAGAUCAAUAUGUGCAUGAUGCUGAUUUUAAAGAUGUAUUGCAGAAUUGUAAAGAAGGAAGAACCUGGAACAAGUUUGUCGUUAAUGAUGGAUUUGUGUUCCGUGCUAACAAGCUAUGCAUUCCAGCUAGCUCUCUUCGUCUUUUGUUGUUGCAGGAGGCGCAUGGAGGAGGAUUAA